rnacentral:lncRNA from 1 species
CAGCAGGUGAGGUGUGCACAAGAUGGAAAACUCUUACUGCUUCCUUCAGCCGAAGGUAAGAGUAAACAUCAACACCAGGACAUCAAAAACGAUGAUACCGCAGGCAGAUCCCACAGUUUCUUCCGGGGCCGUUGCAUUUAAACCUUGUAGACUCUUCCCAGGCGCUGGGCAUACUUUCCCAUUUUACCUUUGAUACUGACUCCGAACACCUGUGGGGAUGAAAGCGACGUCUAUCCUGAAGCACGAAGACAGCAGCGGGGCCCGGGGAGGUCUGUGCACCCAGGCUGCAGACGCAGCAGGUGCGGUAGGAGACGCGGCAGCGCGGGGGUGCGGGGCGGGGGCGUUGGAUGCGGUGGGUGCGAGCGGCUGCUGAAAGGCGGACGGUCUAGGCGGCGAACUCGUGGAUUCAGGUGAGGCGGGGGAGGGGGGGGGUGAGUCGCCUGAAGUCUUUUGGGAAGCGGUUUGGAGGAAUGGCGAGGGUUGAGUGGCGAUCAAGUUGGUGACCCUGUGCGUCUGAGGCCGCUAGCCGGUCCUCCCCCCAAACCCCCCGCGGGGGUCCUAGGAUUCUGAGUGUGGGUCUUCCGGGGGAGCUCCGUCUGGUGCAUUCUGGCUGCUCUUGCCCCCUGCGGGUCCCUCGAGCGUGGGGGACUCAGCUGCACGAAUGCUGUGGGUCGGGACCGGGGCUGGCGCUUUCCCGCGACGUCUCCCAGUCCCGGACUGAUGCCGGCUCUUCCGUGGCGUCACCCGGUUCUCCUCCUGCCUUCUCGGGCCGCACUGCCACUUCCCUUGUGCCCGCGCUGGUGACCGGGAGUCGCCGAGCUCAGAGUUGGCGGACGCCUAUCACCGGCCUCCUGCUGGUUUUCUUUCCUUAGCAGCAAAAUUGCGAUGGUCCCGAGAGCCUUUCCGGAAACCCUGGGGCUCGCGCCCUCCCCUCUCCCACGGGCCUAACCUUGGGCCGAGAGUCCCAGAAUCACUCGCCCAAACCCAGGGCUUGUGCGCAGUGUGGCAUCGAGAGGCUGCUUUUGAAGAGACGUUCCGCGGAUGGAGCGUGGAUGCUGUAUUGCAGGUGAGACCACCUGGCUCUGGCAGGCCAGCGGGCAAGCCGGCACCGGAGGUUCUCGCAGGCUUCCUUCCCUGGUGUUUCACUCCAAGAAGUCCAGGAAUUUUAAGUCCAUUCCUGUCAUCCUGGGUAACCUAAUGGUAGACUUCUCAAAGUAAGAGAAUACAGGCUAUUUCAUUUUCGAUUGCAAAGUCUUUUUGGUGUUCGUUUGUAUGUUUUUCCUUAAGCUGGUCGGGAUCUUUGAGAGAGAGAGAGAGAGAGAGAGAGAGAGCCUAAAGGUAGAUGGCAACCUUGCCACUAACAUUUGCAGGUGCCAGUGCAAAGAGUAAAAAAGAGAGGCAACAAAGCUCCUUAGGCUGCUGGGUGGAUUGCCAGGAUAGCUUAUUUUGUCUUCUAUUCGUGGUCCUCGAGGGCCAGGAACAAGGAAAUCGACUUCUCAGUCCCAGGCUCGCGCUAGAAGGAUUAUAGCAGGUCCUCACUACAAUAAGGUGGGAUUCCCAAGGUCUAAGCCCUUGGGAGUAGGGGUGAUCAUAUCUAGUCCUGCCCCUUCAGGUCCCAGGGCUCUUUGGACAAGGCGGCCUUGGCGCUACAAAUAAUAUAAGGAAAAGGAAUGUUGAAAAAGCCCUUGAGAAUAAAUAAAUAGGGAAGGAAGCCCAGAAGCCAGCAGGUACCUGGCUGGCUCACUGGGUAGACCAUGGGACUCUUGAUCCUUGGGGUUCUAAGUUCCAGCCCCACGAUUGCGCGUAGAGAUGACUUAAAAAUAAAAUCUUUAAAGAUGAAAUAAAAUACUUAUAAGCCCCUGAGGAAAUGUGGCCACGGGCUUGACCUCUAGUGAAUUUAGCCUUGAGUACACAUAGCCCGGGUAGUAUGGGAAACCUUAGGCCAUCAACUUGUUUCCCAGUCUUAACAAACCCCAAGAGCCUGCCAGAGGAUGACAUAUUCUAAGGAGAACAUAUUCAUCCUGGUGCUGUAGGGGUACCCUCCAAUGACAUUUAUUUCAAGAGAAUCAACUAGCAUCUCAAAUUCAGUUAUGAGACAUAAGAACAAAAUCUCAUGUAUCUGGAAUUUUAGAGAUGCUUCUAUCAAUCCUUGUAUCAAAGCAGACAUGAAGACGGAAAUUAGGAAAUAAUUCUGAAUCAAACAAAACUGAAAAUACUACAGCUACUGCCCAUGAGGUGGCAAAACCAGUCUUCGAGGACAAUACACAGCUUUAAAUGUAAAUCAGGACGAUUAGUGCAGAUCGCUAAUGAGCUAAACCUCCAUCUCAAAAAGUUACAAAAAGAAUGACAAGAACAGCAGAAGCAGAUGGGACCAGAAAUGAAAUAGAAAAGCAGGAAUUUGAAAAUUAGAAAUAAAUGUUAAAAAUUUAAAAAGAAAUAAAAUGAAAAAAGAACAUUGGAAAUAAAUAUACAAAAGAGAAAAGUGAACGGUUGGAUCUUUGAAAAGACUGCUCUGAUAAAACCGGGAAGAGGAAAGAAGGAAGUCACGACUAUUGAACUGCUAGACAUAAGGAAACAAUACGUGAAUAUCAUAAACACGUGUAUGCCAACCAAUUAAAGGCUUUAGAGGAAAUGUAGGUAUAUUGCCAUAGCGAUUUGGGCAGGGGUGGGGAGGAGGACUAGUCCUACAAGCUUCACAUUUAAAAAAAAAAAAAAAAUUAGAAUUCAAAAGUCUUCCAGCAAAUAAAGCUCAAGGACCAAAAAAGUUCAUUAGAAGAAGUGACUCCAAAAGCAAAGAAAUUCUAAAAACAUCAAAGAGCGGCAGAAUUCCUCAACUUGGUGUUAUGAGUUUGGGUUGAAACCAAAAACUCCAGAAAGGCAAUUUGUGAGAAACAGAAAUGAGAGGCCCGACUUAUUGCUGAAUAUCCAUAGCUUCAAAAAUUAUUUAAAAUACUGAAUCGCGGGGCGCCUGGGUGGCUCAGUAGUUGAGCAUCUGCCUCUGGCUCGGGUUGUCAUCCUGGGGGGAGAGGGGGUCCAGGGAUUGAGUCCCGCAUCAGGAUCCCCACAGGGAGCCUGCUUCUCCCUUUGCCCAUGUCUCUGCCUCUCUCUGUGUCUCUCUUGAAUAAAUUAAUAAAAGCUUUUUUAAAAAAAUGAAGUACUGAAUCAAGAUAUAUAUUUUUUAAAUAUGUCGUGAUGAAAUUGGUCUUACACCGGGGAAACAGUUGAUUAUCAUUAGAAAAUAGAGUAAUUCAUCACAUUAACGACUUAGAGAGGAAAAUCAUAAUCACUAAAAACACAGAAAAGGUGUUUGAAAAAAUUCAUUAUCAGCUUAUGAUUUUUAAAAGCCUCUUAGCAUAACAG